ACGGGACCACUGGAUGAAGGAGUGAGGAGACGGGACACACUGAUGAAGGAGUGAGGAGACGGGACACACUGUAAUGGGGGGAGGAGAGGGGAGACUGUGUUGAAAGGUGAGGAGGAGGAACACAAUCUGAUGAAGGGGAGGAGGGGGGAGCACAGUGUGAUAAAGGAGUGAGGAGGGGUGAGACGGUGUGAUGAAAGGUGAGGAGGGACACAGUGUGAUGGGAGGAGGGGUGAGACAGUGUGAUGAAAGGUGAGGAGGGGUGAGACGGUGUGAUGAAAGGUGAGGAGGGACACAGUGUGAUGGGAGGAGGGGUGAGACAGUGUGAUGAAGGAGUGAGGAGGAGGGACACGUGUGAUGAAGGAGUGAGGAGGAGGGACACGUGUGAUGAAGGAGUGAGGAGGAGGGACACGUGUGAUGAAGGAGUGAGGAGGAGGGACACGUUGUGAUGAAGGAGUGAGGAGGAGGGACACGGUGUGAUGAAGGAAUGAGGAGGAGGGACACGUGUGAUGAAGGAGUGAGGAGGAGGGACACGUGUGAUGAAGGAGUGAGGAGGAGGAACACGGUGUGAUGAAGGAGUGAGGAGGAGGAACACGGUGUGAUGAAGGAGUGAGGAGGAGGGACACGGUGUGAUGAAGGAGUGAGGAGGAGGGACACACACACAUUCGUACACUAUCAGACUCAAAUAUAAACUCACACAUGCUGAGUCAUCGCUGAGGAAACGCUGAGUCAGCAGAAAGAGAAAUGAGUUCUGAGAAGAUGAUUUCAAGUUUCACCUCAACCUGUCUGUCUGUCUGCCUGCCUGCCUGUCUGUGUCUGUCUGUCUGUCAGUCUGUGUCUGUCUGUCAGUCUGUGUCUGUCUGUCUGUCUGCCUGCCUGCCUGUCUGUGUCUGUCUGUCUGUCAGUCUGUCUGCAUUAGAUGUUACACACUCAGGAUGAACUGAGGAACAAGCAGGAAACAAUCAGCUGCCCUCUUCACUUCCUGUGUGUGUCUGUGUGUGUUUCCUCCUUUCAGAGGUCAAAUGCAUGUGUGUGUAUGUGUGUUCUCAUGAUCACAUUAGAGUAUAAAUGCAGAUGUAAUUGUGUCACAAGCUGUUGUCGUGGUGUUUUACGCUGGUAGAGAGCGUUAUUUGUGCGUUAUUAAUUGUUGGUCUGAAGUUAUAACCAUGAUUGUGCGGUUAUGUGCGUAUAACGGAUGAAUCGCACAUCGCUCAGCCCUAACCUACACACAUACACACAUACACACAAGUAGAGAAAAGAGUCAUAAAAACACAGAAAUAAAUGAUGAAUUCCUCGAAUCGAACCGAGGUUCCAUCUGUUUCUGCCAGAUGUUAAAUAGUAAACGUCUUAAAUGUCACAUGUUCCAUAAUACUCUUUAUCCAUCGAUAAUAACUCGCACAUCAGGAAUAUUUCAUCAUGAUUUAGUGGUCUUUAAAGGUGUGUGUGUGUGUGUGUUUCAUAUCUCCUCUUCUUCUUGUAUCAGCUCAUCUGACAGCUGAUUGCGUACAGAGAGGGUGAUGUCAUCAGCAUGUAAGGAGAGAACGAGGCGACAGGAAGUGUGUGUGUGUGUGUGUGUGUGUGUGUGUGGGUGUGUGUGUGUGUGAUCAUACCACUGUAUGUUUCCUGUAGGUUCUGGUCAUGUGACCAGGCUUGUCUUGUGAAUAAAUGGAACCAUUUAAAUAUAUAAAAAACGAAUGUGUCAUCGGUCAUAAUAUCACCGUUCUAUUGCUUUUAAUCAAGCAGAGGUCAGAGGUCACGGCUGUGUGAUGAUGACUUAAUGCUUGAAGUCUGUCUCACGGCGGGACUCUUUAAAAACAUGGCUCACGUUGGUAACUGCAUUAGUUGCUCGGCAACAGAAGCCCACAUGAGGACAUUGAGAAGCAAGCUGAUGGACCAGCGGGCUUCUGAAGACUCCACGGUUGACGUGGUUGAGGAGUGAGACGUCUCACUCGCUGGCUCGAAGUAAAGAAUGUAAACACCUCAUCUCGUCUGUGGCCCCGCCCCCUCCCUGUGAUGUCACAGCAGCCAUGUCACCAGCUGGAGGUGUAAAGGAGAAUCAGUAAAGCUGAGUUAAGUGCCCCUUGCGUGUCCCUUGCGUGUCCCUUGCGUGUCUUUUCACACCUCCUUGCGUGCGUCGACCCAUUUUUCUAGACUAGCGCGUGAAGACUAGACGCCAGCCUCCGAUGCAGAGCUGGGCUGGAUUUGAAUGGUCCUUUCUUCUCAGGAAGGUUCCUCACUGGGAGAAAGGAAGUGAAGGAGUGGAAGUGGCUCCAGGAUAAGAGCUUCAAUGCUUCCUUACUGAGAUGAUUUAGCGUAGGAACCACUGGACCAUCCUUUGCAUGCAUCAUUGGUCCGUUCACAGGAAAUAGUUGAUGAUUCGUUCAUUUAUCGCCUUGGUUACCAGUCGAAGCAGGAACCGACUAUGUGAAGCCGGUGCAAAGGGGUCAAAGGUCACCGUCUGUUGGGCGUCAAUGUUUUCUUUUGGAUCUGGCGGCAUGAAGACAAAAAGAGGUCAAAACGUCACGAGCAGCUACAACUUAGUGGAGCAGUAUUUACUCAGCAAGCGUGUGUGUUGAACGCACGCGUGUCUCUGGUCCAGUUUUUGUCUCUUUGUCUCGUGUGUCUCUGGUUAAAACCCCCCUGAGGCCAACGCGUGGUGAAGCCUCUCAGAUGCUCGUGUAGGAGCUCCAGACUCAGACGUGUUCAGACGUCCAGCAGCGUGUCCUCCAAUGAAAUAAGGGUCAGAGGGUGGAGACUUUGGUAACGACAGCCGCGCACACACACACACACACACACACACACACACACACACACACACAGCUAACGCAGCAGUUAUUUCUCUGGCCGUUGGAGCCGUGAAGCCAGAUGAUCGUCGUUCCAGCGGCUUCCUUCGUCCAUCGGUACUAAAAAGCUAAAGGAGACAAUCACGCGUUUGACUUGAGUCGGUUGGUGUAAACGCGCUGUGUGGUCGGAGGACCUCCUGCUGGGAGGGUCCCUUUGUUGGACCCCCUGCAUGCUGGCUGCCUCCUGUCCUCUUCAUCAGGGGUUUGUGGAGAUGCCGCAAUGGUUGAAGACAUCUUGAGAGCAGCAAGUUAAAGGUACCAGAGCUGUGGUUGUAAGUAAACCACGAUGUCCUCAAGGUUCUCAGCUCUUCAGAUGCUUCUAUAACAGGGAAACUGUUCCCUGUGGGGCUGCAAUACCACUACCAAGAAGCUGGUGAAGAAGGCCGCCUCCUCUGUACAGUGUUAAUUUCGCCGAUGAAAACUAUGACGAAAAAUGUUCGUUAACCUUUUUUUCACGACUAAGACGAGACGAAGACAAUCUUAAAAAAUAAAAACUAUGACUAAAUCUAUUCUAACUUUCGUUAACGAGACGAGACGAACAUGGUGGUUGACGAAGUCACGACAGACAACAGACAGAGUACGGCGGAUGUUAACGCGUCAUGAUGACGUCCUCCACCAACCCAGAACGCUCGCGCACAGCGGUGCUUCUUGUGCACCGACUACGGACUGCGACGACUAUUUUACGCUGCGGCGAGUUUGAACGCGGCUUCGUUAGUUUAGCUCAGCUGUCUCGGGUUAGCUGCCUGUUAGCUGCCUGUUAGCUGCCUGUUAGCUGCCUGUUAGCGGGCUGAAGCCGCGCUGCUUCACAGAAACAUGAAGACACGUUUAAAGACCGUCGGACCUUUCUGCUCUGUUCUCUGGCGACGGCAGCGUUUCCUCGCUGGAUGAGACGCUCCGUCACAAACACGUCUAACGUAAUAAAGUCAUUGCAGGUUCUGAAGCCUCACGCGUUUCUACUGUAGUUCACGCGUCACAUCGUGAGAAGACGUUAAACCGUCUCGGCCACCGUACGCUCGUUACUAAGCAACGUAGAGGCGCCACAAAUAAUGUCCUGCAGCGAUUGUAGGACGUUAAGGUCUCUUUAGUUGGGACAGUGGAAACAAUAAAGGAGCAUGAAGUGUCAAAAGCAUUCAAGUAAACAGACAAAGACAACAAAGUGUUGCGUUUAGGUCCCUGGUCCUCAUGAAGUUGUUACACCUUUGCCAAUUUGUUAAAUUGCCUUUCAAAUAAAUGCUUUGCUAUUUGUUAAAAUCCAAAUCCUUUCAUGUGAUGAUUCACAUGUCAUUUAUAUCAGCUCACACAAAC
ensembl:lncRNA